rnacentral:rRNA from 1 species
CGGCAACAGCUCAAAUUUGAAAUCUGCCCGCAAGGGCCGAGUUGUAAUUUGUAGAAGAUGCUUCGGGUGUGGUUCCGGUCUAAGUUCCUUGGAACAGGACGUCAUAGAGGGUGAGAAUCCCGUAUGUGACUGGAUACCUAUGCUCAUGUGAAGCUCUUUCGAC